rnacentral:rRNA from 1 species
UACGUAGGGCGCAAGCGUUAUCCGGAAUUAUUGGGCGUAAAGAGCUCGUAGGCGGUUUGUCGCGUCUGCCGUGAAAGUCAGGGGCUCAACCCUUGAAUGCCGGCGGAUACUGUCGGGCUAGAGUCCGGAAGAGGCGAGUGGAAUUCCCGGUGUAGCGGUGAAAUGCGCAGAUAUCGGGAGGAACACCUAUGGCGAAGGCAGCUCGCUGGGACGGUACUGACGCUGAGACGCGAAAGCGUGGGGAGCAAACAGG